GCCAGGCGUGGUGGCGCAUGCCUGUAAUCCUAGCUAUUUGGGAGGCUGAGACAGGAGAAUCGCUUGAACCCAGGAGGCAGAGGUUGCAGUGAGCCGAGAUCGCACCACUGCACUCCAGCCUGGGCAACAAAGCAAGACUCUGUCUCCA
rnacentral:SRP_RNA from 1 species